rnacentral:rRNA from 1 species
CUUUUUUUGAUUUAAAUAUGAAAUAUGGCCUGCUCAAUGAUGUUUUAAAUAGCCGCGGUAUAUUGACCGUGCAAAGGUAGCAUAAUCAUUAGUCUAUUAAUUGUAGGCUGGAAUGAAUGGUUGGACGAAAUAACAACUUUCUUAAGUUUAUUUAUUUGAAUUUAAUUAUUGUGUUAAAAAGCUCAAAUUUUUUUUUGGGACGAGAAGACCCUAUAGAGUUUUAUAGUUUGUAUACUUUUGAUGUUUGUGGAAUGUAAAUUAUAUUAAUUAUUUUGUUGGGGUGAUGUAAAGAUAUAAAUAACUCUUUAUUUUGUUAAUUAUGUAUUGGUAUUAUUUUUGAUCCAUUUUUAUUGAUUAAAAGACUAAAUUACC